CUCAGAACAGAAGGGUACACAGCAUGUUAGCAAAGGUCAGCAUGCUUGUGUGUAUUUAUAUGAUCACACCCUCAAGAAUCCUGGCUGAAAGGGGAACAGGAAUAGAAUAGCUUUCUCUUCAACUUCCUUCUUCUAUUGCUACUGAUACUCGAGUCAUGUUAUUAGAGCUACACGUCUGAAGUCAUGUAUUUGGUAUGUGCUCCUGAAAGAAACCUUCCAUGAGCAUCAAUUCAUAUAUGCAGAAAUUGUCGGAGACAUAGAAUAUAUUAUAUUACGUGAAAACAUAUAAUAGGAGUAAUGAAUUCACAAGACUGGUGAUCUAAUUUUGGCUGCCAUACCUGGGAACAUUUCACUAAGCAAGAAGCUGAUAACUUUACCUUGAUAUAUGCAAUUCACUUUCCUUCGAAUGAGAUGACCUAAAGACCACUACAAAUUUGUUCAGAUUGAUGAAGUAUAAUUGUCCUAAUUUAUAUAUAUAAAAGGUUAUUGGUAUAAACAUAGUCAAUUUGUAUUAAAUAGACUUAAAGAAGCAGUUUGUAUUUCAAGUUAGUAUUUCAUAAGCCUGUGUAGUGUUAAAAGUUUAUUUUUGUAUGCUAAGGAUUUUAUUUAAAGCAAUUGUCCACUGUAAGAAUAUAUGUACUUUAGUACCCUAAUUAGAAUUGUAUUGCUGGAUAUUAGUAGCUGUGAUAUUUUAAUCUCAUUGUGUUAACUGAAUGAAAUGCUAUUGUAAAUCAGGCUCGCUUUAAAGGUAAACUUUUAUGAGCUUGGCAAGAAGUAUACACUGUCCUAUUGUUUAAAUUAGCUCUGUUAGAAUUGUAUUGCUUGGGUAUUUAGCUGUUAAAGAUCUUGGAAUCUCAUUGUACUAACAAGGUGAACUUUUACUGUGAAUAAGAUAGAUUUUUAUGAAUGUUGCAUAGCCUAUUUGAAUGGUUUUAAACGCAUAUAGUGUCGACUCAUAUUCUAAUUCUCACAAAUAUUUAUGUAUCAACAUGUUCAUAGUUAUUUACUAAUAAUAAAGAAUUCAGAUAUUUAUAUUAA